rnacentral:lncRNA from 1 species
AUUACCUUGUUUAUUUCCACUGACCCAUGUUGUUGUAUAGUUCUUCCUGAUCCGGUGAGUACUCCUCGCCUUCUUCGGCUUGCGGUACCCACUGGGAGGGGAGACAUGUUUACAUGUUCUCACCUCCCCCACCAUUUUUCAGGUAUCGCGGGCGUUGAGUAGUGGGACGAGACGUGAGGUACGUGUGUAGCGGUCGAUAGAGCUUCCGACCCAGGUUAUUUCGAUUUAGCUAUUACCCUUUUUAUUUCUGUGGAUAUUUAUAGCUUAGUCGGUCUACAUGGUUCAGUUUUGUUUUAUUAUUUGAAUAUCUGAGUUUUCAGUUGGUUUUGGAAUGUAAUAAAGGAAUUGUGUUUACUUGAAAUAAAAGGUUUUCUACCCCUCGCGGUAGCGUUUUUAAAGAAUAAAGGUUUCCGUAUAGGAAACAGUUUUCAAAAGGUUUUCUGUGGAUUUUGCAUCUUAGUAUUUCAAAACCUGUUUCUGUGGUUGGAAACAUUUUAACUGAUAGAUGUGGAUUUAUGUUUAAAUAUCGAUUAUAUAAAUGUGAACCUAUGAUGUGAAUGGUGUAUGAAUAUAUAAUUGUUGGUUAUUUGUAUGUUCAUCUGGUUGUGGUUGUAUCUGGGUUACUUCUUGUAUUUGUGUGACGCCGU